UACGGAGGAGGCAAGCGUUAUCCGGAAUUAUUGGGCGUAAAGCGCGUGUAGGCGGCUUUGCAAGUCGGGUGUGAAAGCCCUCGGCUCAACCGAGGAAGUGCGCCCGAAACUGCAGAGCUUGAGUGCCGGAGAGGAUGGCGGAAUUCCCCAAGUAGAGGUGAAAUUCGUAGAUAUGGGGAGGAACACCAGUGGCGAAGGCGGCGACCCGGGCCAAUAUUGACGCUGAGGUGCGAAAGCGUGGGGAGCAAACAGG
rnacentral:rRNA from 1 species